rnacentral:rRNA from 1 species
AGAGUUUGAUCCUGGCUCAGGAUGAACGCUAGCUACAGGCUUAACACAUGCAAGUCGAGGGGCAGCAUGGAAGAAGCUUGCUUCUUCUGAUGGCGACCGGCGCACGGGUGCGUAACGCGUAUCAAACCUGCCUCAUACUCGGGGAUAGCCUUGCGAAAGUAAGAUUAAUACCCGAUGUUGUUAUGUUGCCGCAUGGUGAUAUAACCAAAGAUUUAUCGGUAUGAGAUGGUGAUGCGUCCGAUUAGGUAGUAGGCGGGGUAACGGCCCACCUAGCCUUCGAUCGGUAGGGGUUCUGAGAGGAAGGUCCCCCACACUGGAACUGAGACACGGUCCAGACUCCUACGGGAGGCAGCAGUGAGGAAUAUUGGUCAAUGGACGCAAGUCUGAACCAGCCAAGUAGCGUGCAGGAUGACUGCCCUAUGGGUUGUAAACUGCUUUUAUGCGGGGAUAAAGUCAGCCACGUGUGGUUGUUUGCAGGUACCGCAUGAAUAAGGACCGGCUAAUUCCGUGCCAGCAGCCGCGGUAAUACGGAAGGUCCAGGCGUUAUCCGGAUUUAUUGGGUUUAAAGGGAGCGUAGGCGGAUUAUUAAGUCAGUGGUGAAAGACGGUGGCUCAACCAUCGUUAGCCAUUGAAACUGGUAGUCUUGAGUGCAGACAGGGAUGCUGGAACUCGUGGUGUAGCGGUGAAAUGCUUAGAUAUCACGAAGAACUCCGAUCGCGAAGGCAGGUGUCCGGGCUGCAACUGACGCUGAGGCUCGAAAGUGUGGGUAUCAAACAGGAUUAGAUACCCUGGUAGUCCACACAGUAAACGAUGUAUACUCGCGGUUUGCGAUAGAGUGUAAGCCGCCAAGCGAAAGCAUUAAGUAUACCACCUGGGGAGUACGCCGGCAACGGUGAAACUCAAAGGAAUUGACGGGGGCCCG